GUGCUCGCUUCAGCAGCACAUAUACUAAAAUAGGA
rnacentral:snRNA from 1 species